CACGGGGGUUGCGAGCGUUGUCCGGAAUUACUAGGCGUAAAGGGCAGGCAGGGGGAUCCAUAAGUUUAUCGUUUAAGGCGUCGGCUUAACCGGCGUAGGGCGGUAGAUACUGUGGAUCUGGAAUGCGGUUGGGGAAGACAGAAUUCCUGGUGUAGCGGUGGAAUGCGCAGAGAUCAGGAGGAAUACCGAAGGCGAAGGCAGUCUUCCAAGCCGUUAUUGACGCUCAACUGCGAAGGUGUGGGUAUCAAACAGGAUUAGAUACCCUGGUAGUCCCUGAG
rnacentral:rRNA from 1 species